CCUGAGUCUCCCGGGAUCGGAAGUGACGUUGGGCGAGGGGGGAAGAUGAGGUUGUGUGGGGACGUUGGAGCCUCUCCCGGGGCCUAAAGGGUUUUCUGGCUUCCGGCUCUGGGCAUGCGCAGAAGCAGAGCUCACACCGGUGGGAAUUCCCAGAGCACAUGGCAGGAGGGUCUGAGCCAGGGAGACAUUAACACCCCAGCCCCCCGUGCCCAGACCGGGCCCUUCUCCCACUGGAGCUGCCCCUGGGGUCGCCCUGGGCUCUGCCCACCCUGCUGCGGAGCUGCAGCUUCCAGGUGAACAAGAAAAGGAGCAGUCAGAGGAAAAGCCAGUUCCUGACUCCAUAUUCCCCCUGCUGGAAUGUGGCUGCUGUGGGACCAGUGACCUUCGAGGAGGUGGCUGUGUAUUUCACCAGGGCAGAGUGGGCUCUGCUGGACCCCACUCAGAGAGCCCUCUACAGGAAUGUCAUGCAGGAGAACUAUGAGAAUGUGACCUCACUAGGUAAGGGUUCCUGUCCCCUCUGUUCUUGGAAGGGGAAAUGAAGAGUGAAGGUUCAUGCCACCCCCACAAUGCCACCUCUACUCUGUCCUGUUGCAGCAUCACCCCAAUAUGUCAGUGGCACACACACUAACAGAUAUCCUCCCAUAUUGCAGAACACUUUGGGAACAAAGCACAGGAGCAUUAUCACACAGUAUCAAAUAUCUCCUCUUUACUCAAGUAAAACUGGGGGUUAGGUCCAGCAUAAUGAACAGAAGCUUCCUACCCCGGGCCUUCUCUCAAACCCUGAGCCUUCUCUACCCAAACCAGAAUGUGCUUGAGGCGUAGCAAGCAGGUUGCAGGAGUCAGAGUUGCUGGUCAGGGUUACUUAUCACACAGACUCUUGGUGCAUUGUUGAAUGCUGGCUGGGAGUAUCCAGACAAGGGCACCCCAGCAGCAGAACACUGAAUCUCACCCAGGAUUACAGAUUACACAACUCCUUACUGCUCUGGAUUGCUCCCCAGCGUGUGAAAAUGGCCUAGGUUGGUAGUGAAACUUCCUGAGACAUGGAGAGUCUUGCUCCCAUAUCACCAGGUGUAAUAACAAUAACAGGAAAGGCCGAAUAUGGAAAACUGAUUGUUCAGCUUGCUUUUGACCUGCAUUAUAUUUUGCAAUAUAUUCUGAAUAAAGUAAUUAACAUGCAACAUAUGUGUUUGUGGUUUUAAGCUUUAAAAGGCUUGUGUGAUUUUUAGCUCAGGGGGACAGUAUUCCAAUAGCUGUCGUCCCUUGC